GCGGAUGGGUGAGUAACGCGUAAGAAACCUGCCUUUCACACCGGGAUAGCAGCUGGAAACGGCUAUUAAUACCGGAUGAUACUUUUCUGACGCAUGUUAGGAAGGUCAAAGAAUUUCGGUGAAAGAUGGUCUUGCGUCUGAUUAGCUCGUUGGUGGGGUAACGGCCUACCAAGGCGACGAUCAGUAGCCGGCCUGAGAGGGUGACCGGCCACAUUGGGACUGAGACACGGCCCAAACUCC
rnacentral:rRNA from 1 species